rnacentral:rRNA from 2 species
ACAACAGGGAUUGCCCUAGUAACGGCGAGUGAAGCGGCAACAGCUCAAAUUUGAAAUCUGGCCCUUGGGUCCGAAUUGUAAUUUGUAGAGGAUGUUUUUGGUGCGGUAUCUUCCGAGUUCCUUGGAACAGGACGCCUUAGAGGGUGAGAGCCCCGUACGGUUGAAUGCCUAGCCUUUGUAAAACUCCUUCGACGAGUCGAGUAGUUUGGGAAUGCUGCUCUAAAUGGGAGGUAAAUUUCUUCUAAAGCUAAAUACCGGCCAGAGACCGAUAGCGCACAAGUAGAGUGAUCGAAAGAUGAAAAGCACUUUGAAAAGAGGGUUAAAUAGCACGUGAAAUUGUUGAAAGGGAAGGAUUUAUGACCAGACUUUUUCUGGGCGAAUCAUCCGGUGUUCUCACCGGUGCACUUCGUUCAGUUCAGGCCAGCAUCGAUUUUCGGGGCGGGAUAAAAGCUUUAGGAAUGUGGCUCCCUCGGGAGUGUUAUAGCCUAUUGUAUAAUACCGCCCUGGGGAUCGAGGUACGCGCUUCUGCAAGGAUGCUGGCGUAAUGGUUAUUAAUCACCCGUCUUGAAACACGGACCAAGGAGUCGAACAUUUGUGCAAGUGUUUGGGUGUUAAACCCUCACGCGUAAUGAAAGUGAACGGAGGUGAGAGCCCUUUACGGGGUGCAUCAUCGACCGAUCCUGAUGUCUUCGGAUGGAUUUGAGUAAGAGCAUAAAUGUUCGGACCCGAAAGAUGGUGAACUAUGCGUGGAUAGGGUGAAGCCAGAGGAAACUCUGGUGGAGGCUCGCAGCGGUUCUGACGUGCAAAUCGAUCGUCAAAUCUGCGCAUGGGGGCGAAAGACUAAUCGAACCAUCUAGUAGCUGGUUACCG